rfam:Photobacterium marinum strain AK15 contig38, whole genome shotgun sequence.
ACAGAGGCUCUUUUCAGAGCCUCUGUAUAUUCGUAUUAAAAAGAGU